rnacentral:rRNA from 1 species
UACGUAGGGUGCAAGCGUUGUCCGGAAUUAUUGGGCGUAAAGAGCUCGUAGGCGGUCUGUCGCGUCUGCUGUGAAAACUCAGGGCUUAACCCUGAGCUUGCAGUGGGUACGGGCAGACUAGAGUGCGGUAGGGGAGACUGGAAUUCCUGGUGUAGCGGUGAAAUGCGCAGAUAUCAGGAGGAACACCGGUGGCGAAGGCGGGUCUCUGGGCCGUAACUGACGCUGAGGAACGAAAGCCAGGGUAGCGAACGGG